UGUCCUCCCAUCCCGUUCUUUCGCUCCAUCUCUCUCUCAUCCCCAUCCAUAUCUUCUGCUUCCACUAAUAUGCGCAUCCGUUCCUUCAACUCUUGCAGAGCCAGCGGAAUUUGCCGCGCUGGGAGCCGGCUGUCCGGUGAGCGUCGUUCCCAGGCGUGUGUCAAUCUUGGGAGUCUCCACAGCGUCUCUUUCCACUGGAGCGCUGCAGCCGGAUCCCCGUCCGCUCCCCUCCCCCCGGCCGAUGUGAAGCUAGUCAAGUCGCCCUCGGCCCCCGUUCCAGACCACCUACAUCUAGAGCGCCGCGGACGGAUCCCGUCGUCCCCGUCAUGCCCGUGUCAAGGACCUCCAGUGUCCGCGUCGCCGGUGGGAUUAAUUCUUUUUCGCCUAUUUUCCUGAUUCUCAUGGUCAGGAUUUUUUUUGUUGCCUCACCCAAGGUUCCUUCGUUCCUUUCUCUCCCAUGUAUUGGCUGUCAGUUUGUUGGUUUUAAGGAGGCCGGUUGAUAUGAA